rnacentral:rRNA from 1 species
AGCAGUAGCCACGGUAAUACCAGCAGCCCAAGUGGUGGUCGCGAUUAUUGGGCCUAAAGCGCUCGUAGCCGGGCCGGUAAGUCCCUUGUGAAAUCGGACGGCCUAACCGUUCGGCGUGCAAGGGAUACUGUCGGUCUUGAGGCCGGGAGACAUCCGAGGUACUCCGGGGGUAGCGGUGAAAUGUUCUAAUCCUCGGGGGACCACCGGUGGCGAAGGCGUUCGACGAGAACGGGCCUGACGGUGAGGGGCGAAGGCUAGGGGAGCAAACGGGAUUAGAUACCCCAGUAGUCCCUGUCUCUUAUU